UACGUAGGUGGCAAGCGUUGUCCGGAUUUACUGGGCGUAAAGAGCGCGCAGGCGGUCGUAUAAGUCGAAUGUGAAAGCCCCUGGCUCAACUAGGGAGAGUCAUUCGAUACUGUUCGACUCGAAGGCAGGAGAGGGAAAGUGGAAUUCCGGGUGUAGUGGUGAAAUGCGUAGAUAUCCGGAGGAACACCAGUGGCGAAGGCGACUUUCUGGCCUGUUCUUGACGCUGAGGCGCGAAAGCUAGGGGAGCAAACGGG
rnacentral:rRNA from 1 species